CAGUCGCCACGGUAAUACGAAGGGUGCAAGCGUUAAUCGGAAUUACUGGGCGUAAAGCGUGCGUAGGCGGUGAGUUAAGCCUGCUGUGAAAUCCCCGGGCUCAACCUGGGAAUGGCAGUGGAUACUGGCUCGCUAGAGUGUGUCAGAGGAUGGUGGAAUUCCCGGUGUAGCGGUGAAAUGCGUAGAGAUCGGGAGGAACAUCUGUGGCGAAGGCGGCCAUCUGGGACAACACUGACGCUGAGGCACGAAAGCGUGGGGAGCAAACAGGAUUAGAUACCCCCGUAGUCCCUGUCUCUUAUAC
rnacentral:rRNA from 1 species